CUCCGAGCUGGUGGAGGGUGGGAAGAGCUCAUCUUACCAAGAUGAGCUAAGGGGACAGAGAAAGAGUCCAAUUUGAAAACGCAGGUGGAAAGUAAUCUGGGUCCUAAGUGCCAGCAGCUGUGGUUAAAACAAUUAAGCAACCCAGCAAACAAAUCGGCAUCUUAGCUUGAGUCUGGGGCUAGAGUAUGGGAAGUAUAAAUGGGGGGAGAGGGAGGCAGAACAAGGAAGAAGCAUUUCUGAUGCAGGAGGUGAACUUCAGGUGCUGGGAAUGAUUCUAGAAACCGUGACCUUGUGGUGCCUUGCACAGGAAGAGACAGGUGGGCUGGGAGAGAAGCUGUUUGCCCACGGUCUGCAAACUUGGAGAACUGCAGCCCGGACAGAAGUAACUGAGUGUUUUCAAAGGAGAAUGAAGGACUAUGCAGGACGGUGGACAGAGCUCAGUAGAGUCAGCCAGUUAGAUGUGCAAGAUGUUUACAAGGACAUGAAGAUUCUUCCAGACAGCACAUAACCCAGGCACCUGUAAUUCUUGUCACCUCACCUGGCAUUUUCUCUAAAAGUUAAGAGAACAAAUUUUAGUGCCUGGCAGACUUGAAUUCACGUCCAGACUCCUUCUUUAGUAACUGUGAUGUUCCUA
ensembl:lncRNA